AAAGAUCUAGAGAGAAAAAAAAAGGGAGCGCGCCUCGUCUCCACCUCUCCCCCCACACGCCGCCUCCUCAUCUCCGCCCCCCCUCUGGUCGCCUCGGCUCCUACCCGGCCGGCUCGUCGCAGCAGCGGCCCGCAGAAAGCUGCGGUGGUCGGCAGUGGAGAAGCAGCAUCGGACGACGGCGGCGGACCAGAUCGGCGAGUCACAGGAGAGGACACGAUGGCCGUCACGGGCAGAGCAGAGCGAACCCGACGCGGCGGCCGGCGCCAUCUGGAGAACUGCUGGCCGGUGGUGCGCGAUCUGGGCGAUUUGGAGGCGAGGCAACACCGUUGACCAGGACGCCGUCGAAAUUCUCAUCAUGCCGCUGGGAGAGGGGCUCGUCGAGGAUCCCCUCGACUCGACGGAUCCGCGAUGGAGGUGCUUGAGGAGGGGCUUCUUCUCCGGACUCCAUGGAGAUCGUAAAGAACUCUUGCAGGCACCCUUGUCAUUGCAAAAAUCAAGAGAAGCUAUGAAGGGGCCUACAUCGUAAUGAAGAGGGGCAGGGUGCAAAAGGAAGCGUGCCUUUUCUUGAUCUCUUAAAUAUAACCAUGGGAGCGGAAGAGUGGAUAUGGGAAAGUGGCAAACACAAGUGCUAUGAAUCUGUUGUUGCACUAAUAUCAUAUCAUCCUAAAUGCGAAAUCCAGCUAAAUGAACUAAAUUUCUCAUAUCGAAGGAGUCAAGAAGGGAAGUUACCCAAUAUUAUGUUAGGCACUUUGUCAUGGUUCGUCCUCGUAAGCUUUUAUACAUGGCCAUUGUUGACUGUUGCAAGACGCGAACCAUAUUACUGUUGCAAGAAAGAAUUCACUUAGGAUAUUAUCAUCGGGUUUGAAGGAAAGAUGUUGCAUGGCCGUCUUGUUUCAGUUAUGUCCUGGUAGUGAUUCGGAGGGCACCGGCAUUAAAGGAUCGAGGCUUCUUCUUGUGUCCGUACGAAAGAGAAGUUGUACCGAUUGCCAUUGGAAGGAGCGGGGCACAGGUACAUUAAGCUCGGAUGUAAUCUGCUUUAAACUAUUUUUAAGGGAAUGCAUUACAACAUGCAGCAAGUUCAGGCCAAGAAAACUGGAUUAUUUGGUGUAGCAAGAAUGAUAGAGUUCUAGGCCGGAGCAAACAAAUGGACAGGGAAAUAGCUGCCUUAUGAACCAAAACUGAAUACUGAAAUAAGGAUUUUUGAGAGUUCAGAUGAGAUAGUAACAGAUCUGGCUGAGUAUAUUUCACAAGUUUCAGAAAUCUCUAUUAAAGAAAGUGGAUACUUCGCUAUUGUCAUGUCUGGAGCGCCACUUGUCAGUUUUUUGGGGUUAAUGAUUUUUUUUCUAUUCUUUGCUAGCUAUUUGCCAUAUUUGUUUUUGCACGCGAAUUUAAUACAGUGUGCAUUAUUGCAUCUGAAGUAUCCUGUUUUUAAUUUUUGAAAAGGAAACUUAGUGAAGUGACGUAUAUAUCCUGCUCUGAUGAACGUGAUGUAGCAAAGAACCAUGCAGAUAGUAAAUAUAAGUUACUCCUUGAUAAGAAAGGUUAGUUUUAAAUAUGUGGUCAUUGGGAGUUAAGAAAAUGUGGCAGAUUUUUUCUUCAGAUUAUGCGCUUUGCAUGGUCAUCUAUCUGUUGCGAUGUCUGCAUUCUAAAAUCAUAUUUAGAUGAUGUGAUUACUUCAGAUAUUUGGUGCUGGUGACUGGUCGCAUUUCGUAUCUAUUGGUGGCUGAUCAUCAGAUUUUCUAAGUCUUCUCGUUGCUUACCCAAAAAAAUCGUACGAAGAGUAGUCAGAUUUAGUGUGGCAGUUCUUGUGCAACAUUCCUGUAAAUAUACUGGCAGAGUUCCUUCCAUGCCUCCCAGCUUCUGUUUCAUCUGACAAGCAUCAAGAUAUACAUUUUUGACCAUGGAGCGUCGAUCAAGAUAUCGUAACUGCUUAUGUAAAAUAGUUCCUGAAGAGAAACUUAAGCAGGCUGUAUUCACUUGGAUCGAAGAAAUAGGCGCAAAGUUGUGUUCUCUGACGAGGUAUCUUGGGGCUUUGCCAGCUGCCAGUGCUAUGAAUAUCAUCUGCUGCAUCAUUGCUAGCUUUCCUAUGUUUGGGUUGUUUCUGCCAUCAACUGGUUCUGAAUAAUUGUUUUAUGUAACACUUGCUUGGAUAUGGUUCAUACAUUCUAACUUCUGAGAAAAGCUAAUAUGUUUUUGCAUUAUGGCAACUUCUCUUUCAUAAAGGAAGGCCAAUUUAUUCAUGUUUGAUAUGCAUUCAUACAUAGAAGGCAUUGGACCCAUGAGCCUUACUGCCAUUGAUAAAUGAUACCAUGUAGUGAUAUGUUCACACAAGCUGACCAAACACAAGCUAGCAAAAAAGAGCAGAGAAGGGGCGCACACAACCUGGCACCGCGCAUAGCACCCCUCAGGAUCGGAUGUAUGGGAGGUGCGACAUGAUUUUGCAAGUACAGACAGAAAAAUGCAGUAUGUUUGAUUAUUUUAUUAUUGUACCUUUCCUUUUUCUGUUCAGGUGGAUCUAAAUAUAUUCCAGACAGAGGAAUUAUUUAGGGACUAAAGGUAAUAUGUCUGAUAAAGCAUAACUGCACUUUUUCUGCUAUCUUUUGCAGUAUAUUUUGUUACGAAGAUUGAAAACAUAAUAUUGGUAGAAAUAAUUUCCAUUUGUUUGCCAUGAACCUUGCAGUUGGCUUGCUUCUGCACUAGGGAAAUGCUUGCAUUAGAUCAUCAAAGUUAAUUACUAUUAUAUCAGUAUCUACAUGUUAAAUGUGUCUAUAGUGAUUGAACAACUCUCAUUAAUAGAUGUAGCCAUAGAACGGAAGGCAUUUUUUAAAUCUCAAUUGUAAUGAUGCCGUCUAUAGUGGCCGGGCUCCACGAGAUCCCCCCCCAACCCCCCCCCCCCCCCCCCAAAAGGUCACAAGCUGCCCGCCUAUGAAUAUUAUCAUUUUUAUUUAUUUCUAAUAUGGACACCUCUGUAUGAUUUAAGUCUUAACUAUGUACUGUUGAUUUACGGCAUGGUGAUUGAUUUCGAUUGCAUGGGAAUUCUGGGAAGAGCAGUGGAAAAGCUAUGGGGAACUUGUGUGUUACUGGCGCCAGCAGCUGAUCAAAGCGGGAACAGAGCCAGAAGGCCGUCGAGGCACCACCUUCAGGCAACCUUGGAGUCGUCGCAGACAACCUUCAAGUGUAGCAUCGAAGUUGAUACAAGACAAGGGGGAAGGCCCAAAUCAGCAGGCAGAUGUGCCGGCUGCUGCGACUGGCAGUGCUCUGGGCGCGCAAGGGUAGCGCGGUACUCCUGGUCAAGACACUGCAGCACAACCGUGGGCCGCGGCCGCAGGCGCAACGAUUGGCUGCACUAUGGCGGACAGGGAUUCUCAACCGACGAGACGCCGGCGAGCGUUGGCUUCGUGGGGCUGGCGGAGAGUGAUGGGGAUGCCGGAGUGGACGUGAAGACGGACAUUGGUUGUUUAUUUACUGAUGAAUUUGGUUCACUUUUGGAUAAGCCAUGCAUCAGCUAUACAUGUAUGUGUGCUAUAAAUCAGCACUAAAACCAUUGGAAAGGGCGGGAGCUUACCUGGCACCGCACAGCUGCCGUUUGAGGCGGCGCGCCAUGGGCGCGCCCCAACCGCUAGUAUUAUUCAACCAGCACCUGAACUGGCAUACAUAAGACGUCGGGGGUAUCUAAGAGCCACAAAUGGCGCCCCAAAUCAAGAUUAACAGCGGCCUUCGCGAGUUCA